GUUAGCGGCGGACGGGUGAGUAACACGUGGGUAACCUGCCUGUAAGACUGGGAUAGCUCCGGGAAACCGGGGCUAAUACCGGAUGGUUGUUUGAACCGCAUGGUUCAAACAUAAAAGGUGGCUUCGGCUACCACUUACAGAUGGACCCGCGGCGCAUUAGCUAGUUGGUGAGGUAACGGCUCACCAAGGCGACGACGCGUAGCCGACCUGAGAGGGUGAUCGGCCACACUGGGACUGAGACACGGCCCAGACUCCUACGGGAGGCAGCAGUAGGGAAUCUUCCGCAAUGGACGAAAGUCUGACGGAGCAACGCCGCGUGAGUGAUGAAGGUUUUCGGAUCGUAAAGCUCUGUUGUUAGGGAAGAACAAGUACCGUUCGAAUAGGGCGGUACCUUGACGGUACCUAACCAGAAAGCCACGGCUAACUACGUGCCAGCAGCCGCGGUAAUACGUAGGUGGCAAGCGUUGUCCGGAAUUAUUGGGCGUAAAGGGCUCGCAGGCGGUUUCUUAAGUCUGAUGUGAAAGCCCCCGGCUCAACCGGGGAGGGUCAUUGGAAACUGGGGAACUUGAGUGCAGAAGAGGAGAGUGGAAUUCCACGUGUAGCGGUGAAAUGCGUAGAGAUGUGGAGGAACACCAGUGGCGAAGGCGACUCUCUGGUCUGUAACUGACGCUGAGGAGCGAAAGCGUGGGGAGCGAACAGGAUUAGAUACCCUGGUAGUCCACGCCGUAAACGAUGAGUGCUAAGUGUUAGGGGGUUUCCGCCCCUUAGUGCUGCAGCUAACGCAUAAGCCUCCGCCUGGAU
rnacentral:rRNA from 1 species